GAUCAAGGUAUGAAGGGCGUACGGUGGAUGCCUUGGCACUAGGAGCCGAUGAAGGACGCGACGAACAGCGAUAUGCUUCGGGGAGCAGUAAGUAUGCUUUGAUCCGAGGAUUUCCGAAUGGGGGAACCCACCAUCCGUAAUGGGAUGGGACAUGUUACAUGAAUACAUAGUGUAGCGUGAGGCAGACCCGGGGAACUGAAACAUCUAAGUACCCGGAGGAAGAGAAAGCAAAUGCGAUUCCCUGAGUAGCGGCGAGCGAAACGGGAACAGCCCAAACCGGAGAGCAUGCUCUCCGGGGUUGUAGGACACUCUAUACGGAGUCAAAAAGGAAGACAGUAGGCGAACGACCUGGAAAGGCCGGCCGAAGAAGGUGACAGCCCUGUAGCUGAAACUGUUUUCCCUCCAGAGUGGAUCCUGAGUACGGCGGGACACGUGAAACCCCGUCGGAAUCCGGGAGGACCAUCUCCCAAGGCUAAAUACUCCCUAGUGACCGAUAGUGAACCAGUACCGUGAGGGAAAGGUGAAAAGCACCCCGGAAGGGGAGUGAAAUAGAUCCUGAAACCGUAUGCCUACAAGUAGUCAGAGCCCGUUAAUGGGUGAUGGCGUGCCUUUUGUAGAAUGAACCGGCGAGUUACGAUAGCGCGCGAGGUUAAGCUGAUGAGGCGGAGCCGUAGCGAAAGCGAGUCUGAAUAGGGCGCCAUAGUGCGUUGUCGUAGACCCGAAACCAGGUGAUCUACCCAUGUCCAGGAUGAAGGUCAGGUAACACUGACUGGAGGUCCGAACCCACGCACGUUGAAAAGUGCGGGGAUGAGGUGUGGGUAGCGGUGAAAUGCCAAUCGAACCUGGAGAUAGCUGGUUCUCCCCGAAAUAGCUUUAGGGCUAGCCUCGAGGUUGAGAGUUCCGGAGGUAGAGCACUGAUUGGACUAGGGGCCCCCACAGGGUUACCGAAUUCAGUUAAACUCCGAAUGCCGGCAACUUAUACUCGGGAGUCAGACUGCGAGUGAUAAGAUCCGUAGUCAAGAGGGAAACAGCCCAGACCGCCAGCUAAGGUCCCAAAGUGUAUGUUAAGUGGAAAAGGAUGUGGCGCUGCCUAGACAGCUAGGAUGUUGGCUUAGAAGCAGCCACCAUUCAAAGAGUGCGUAAUAGCUCACUAGUCGAGUGGCGCCGCGCCGAAAAUGUAACGGGGCUAAACAUACCACCGAAGCUGCGGAUUCCGUAAGGAAUGGUAGGGGAGCGUUCCAAACCGCUGUGAAGCUGUACCGUAAGGAGCAGUGGAGCGUUUGGAAGUGAGAAUGCCGGUGUGAGUAGCGAAAAGAGGGGUGAGAAUCCCCUCCGUCGAAAGCCCAAGGUUUCCUGAGGAAGGCUCGUCCGCUCAGGGUUAGUCUGGACCUAAGCCGAGGCCGAAAGGCGUAGGCGAUGGAUAACAGGUUGAUAUUCCUGUACCACCGAUCCACCGUUUGAACAAUGGGGGGACGCAGGAGGAUAGUGACGCAUGCGGAUGGAAGUGCAUGUGUAAGUUUCGAGACCGUCUGAUUGGCAAAUCCGUCAGGCAUCAAAGUCGAGGAACGAUGCGGAGUCCCGUAGGGACGAAGGUCACGAUUUCACACUGCCAAGAAAAGCCUCUAGUGAGGUGGAAGGUGCCAGUACCGUAAACCGACACAGGUAGGCGGGAUGAGAAUUCUAAGACGCGCGGGAUAACUCUCGUUAAGGAACUCGGCAAAAUGGUCCCGUAACUUCGGGAGAAGGGACGCUCUACAUUGAGUAGAGCCGCAGUGAAUAGGCCCAAACGACUGUUUAGCAAAAACACAGGUCUCUGCUAAAUCGCAAGAUGACGUAUAGGGGCUGACGCCUGCCCGGUGCUGGAAGGUUAAGGGGAUGGGUUAGCGCAAGCGAAGCUUUGAACCGAAGCCCCAGUAAACGGCGGCCGUAACUAUAACGGUCCUAAGGUAGCGAAAUUCCUUGUCGGGUAAGUUCCGACCCGCACGAAAGGCGUAACGAUUUGGGCACUGUCUCAACGAGAGACCCGGUGAAAUCAUAGUACCUGUGAAGAUGCAGGUUACCCGCGACAGGACGGAAAGACCCCAUGGAGCUUUACUACAGCCUGAUAUUGAGGCUUUGUGCAUGAUGUACAGGAUAGGCGGGAGACGUCGAGACCGGAGCGCCAGCUUCGGAGGAGUCACCCUUGGGAUACCGCCCUUCAUGCAUAGAGUCUCUAACUCGCAGCCGUCAUCCGGCUGGAGGACCGUGUCAGGCGGGUAGUUUGACUGGGGCGGUCGCCUCCUAAACAGUAACGGAGGCGCCCAAAGGUUCCCUCAGAAUGGUUGGAAAUCAUUCGUAGAGCGCAAAGGCAGAAGGGAGCUUGACUGCGAGACCUACAAGUCGAGCAGGGACGAAAGUCGGGCUUAGUGAUCCGGUGGUUCCGCAUGGAAGGGCCAUCGCUCAACGGAUAAAAGCUACCCUGGGGAUAACAGGCUGAUCUCCCCCAAGAGUCCACAUCGACGGGGAGGUUUGGCACCUCGAUGUCGGCUCAUCGCAUCCUGGGGCUGGAGUAGGUCCCAAGGGUUGGGCUGUUCGCCCAUUAAAGCGGUACGCGAGCUGGGUUCAGAACGUCGUGAGACAGUUCGGUCCCUAUCCGUCGUGGGCGCAGGAAAUUUGAGGAGAGCUGUCCUUAGUACGAGAGGACCGGGAUGGACGCACCGCUGGUGUACCAGUUGUUCCGCCAGGAGCAUCGCUGGGUAGCUACGUGCGGACGGGAUAAAUGCUGAAAGCAUCUAAGCAUGAAGCCCCCUCCAAGAUGAGAUUUCCCUUUGAGUAAUCAAGAAAGACCCCUCAGAGACGAUGAGGUAGAUAGGUCACGGGUGGAAGCAUGGCGACAUGCGGAGCUGAGUGAUACUAAUCGGUCGAGGCCUUGUUCUA
rnacentral:rRNA from 1 species